GACGAACGCUGGCGGCGUGCCUAAUACAUGCAAGUCGAACGAGAGCGACCGGUGCUUGCACUGGUCAAUCUAGUGGCGAACGGGUGAGUAACACGUGGGUAACCUGCCCAUCAGAGGGGGAUAACAUCCGGAAACGGAUGCUAAAACCGCAUAGGUCUUCGAACCGCAUGGUUUGAAGAGGAAAAGAGGCGCAAGCUUCUGCUGAUGGAUGGACCCGCGGUGCAUUAGCUAGUUGGUGAGGUAACGGCUCACCAAGGCCGUGAUGCAUAGCCGACCUGAGAGGGUGGUCGGCCACAUUGGGACUGAGACACGGCCCAAACUCCUACGGGAGGCAGCAGUAGGGAAUCUUCCGCAAUGGACGCAAGUCUGACGGAGCAACGCUGCGUGAGUGAAGAAGGUUUUCGGAUCGUAAAACUCUGUUGUUAGAGAAGAACAAGUGCUAGAGUAACUGUUAGCGCCUUGACGGUAUCUAACCAGAAAGCCACGGCUAACUACGUG
rnacentral:rRNA from 1 species